rnacentral:lncRNA from 1 species
CUGGACAUAAUUUAUGUUUAGCGCCGUUUGACCUUUCUAAAGGUCGAAUCUUGUUGUGAUGGUAAUACAAAAGUUAUAGAGGACUUCAUAAUCUUUCCAGAAAGUCCUAGUUUACUAUUUUUGGAUGGAUAUUUUGUGAGUUAUGAGGUAAACAAAUAGCUGCUGUUUUGCUGUCCAAAAUCAGCAAGUAUUAUAAUGAUUACUUGGAGUUUCUUUUGUGUGGAUACUUAGAUUUGGUUAGUUCUUGUCUUGGUUAAUGAAGUCUUGUAGUUGCAUAGGGUUGUUCUUUUCUUUCUUAAUGCUUGCCUUAGACUUUAGCAUUUUAAGAAGGAAAAUAAAUACUUUGGUGAGUGCAUUUGAAUUAGUGACAUUGAUGCCUUGUCUUAGGAAGUAUUGUCUUCUAUGUAAUCACGGGAAUUAAUAAGUCAUGAAUGGUUAUUGUUUUCCAUUUCGAGUAUCUGGGAUCAAGUAGCACCAAUAAGUCUAAUCCAAGUAAAUUAUGAAAUCUAUGUGAUACUAGAUGUGAAUGAGGAGUUUAGGUUGAAAUGCCAAUUAUGUGUAGAGUGGUAAGUUAGUAUUUUGAAUAUUUUGCAGGGAAGUGGUGUCGAGGUUACUGUGAUGAUUUAGUUAUUUGAGUGAAUAUGUAUGUGAUGGAUGCUUUGCCUACUAGCUCACAAUUGUGAUGUCUUAGCUAUUGUAUGAUUCAAGUCAUUUGGACAUGGUGGUUUAGAAAGUCAAUAGAUUGCUUCUAUCCAUAUUUUAUUCUAGAUGUCUGUUAGUGAGGAACCUAAGGUUAUUAGUUUUUCGAUGAAUUCUUAAUCCUAGUAGAAUAUAGAACCCAAGUAAAACAUGUUACUAGAUGUUUGGUUUAGGUCCAUUUGACUUAAAGGUCAUGUUUGUGUAAAGUCAAAAGCAUCUAAGUAAAGUUGAAAUGUCUUGCUUUAAGUGCUUAACCUACUUCGAGUAGCAUUAUCUAGCUCGUGCUAUUCAUACUCGUGCUCAUUCAUGUGCAUCUUGCAUAUCACAUAGGUACGUUCAUUGAUCACGUAUUGUGGAGGACAACAACAACUGGAAUAAUCUCAAAGUGGGAUUGAUGAAUGAACCCAAAGCUGAAUGAUCUGAUCGUACUGGAAUGGGAGGUGCUCGCCAAGCGAGUAUCAUCUAACAACACUGACUUAGUGUUUAUCCCAGGCAAGCCCCGGUGCAUUUGCCACCCCCUUGUUGUUAUAAAACUUUUUAUCACUUAUAUGUUGCAUUAGGUGAUAGGAGUUGUGUGAAUAAACAAUUGAUGCAUUACCAUUCCUUAGAAUUUUAUUACUAUUCCUUGAUUCCUCUUUAUAAAAGAGAACUAAAGAUGCUUAGUCCUGCUUAGAUAAUUAAAAAGUUGUUCUUUUUAAUAAAGAUGAUGUGUUACACGGGAUAUGGGAAAUUUUUGUGAAAAAGAAAUUGGGAUGGUGAAUCCAUAUGGCCAUGAUGGAUUCAACGUCCAGAAAAAGUACCUCUGUCAGGUACCAAGGAUUGGGAAACGGUUUAACUAAAAUGAGACCAGACGUUGAGCAGGAAAGGUCGCCCGUCUGUGUCGAUUAAGGACCGUUCCGAUUGUUGGCCUGCUGAUCUAGGACCCUUUAACUGGCCACAUGCCUCAUCAUGGGUAAGCUUAGCCUCGGUCGGACCAAUACCAGAACAGCUCGCACGCACUGGGAGUGGAGAGAUGGCGAGAGUAGCUUGUACCCUCCGUGGCAAGAGACUGGAAGGUGGGGUGCUGUACUCUCGGAAACAUGGUGGGCACCAUGGCGAGAGUAACGUGUACCAACCAGGCCAACGGCUGGAAGGUGGGGUGCUGUACUCUCGGAAACAUGGCGGGCACCAUGGUGAGAGUAACGUGUACCAACCAGGCCAAUGGCUGGACGGUGGAGUACUGUGCUCUCGGGUCGCGUGAACCUGUUUUGGUCUUGAGAAACCCGUGGGCGAGUUGACAUAUGCAAGGGUUAAGUGCUACAUAUGUCGUGUGGUUGGAGAUCCCCAGCUGGGUAUUAAUCGAUUCGGAUCGCCGUUACUUCUCGGAUAUGAAGACUAGAUCACUGCCCUGCAUCGUAGAUAACAAGUGAAACUAAAGUUGAUAAAAGGAAGCUAGUGUAGGACAAGUGAAUGCUCUAGAUUAGGCAAAUCUAGAUUCAGGAAAAGUACUUAACUUGUGAAGUAAAAUUUUGGCAUAAGGAUCCACUACUAGUAUGCUUUUCUGCAAAAACGAGUCUUUGAAAUUUGAUGAGCCUUACCUUGAUUCCCAAUAAACCAGCAUACCCUUGAGAGUCUUUUCUUUAGUCGGGUAAGUCUUGCUGAGUAAUUGUGUACUCAGGGUUUUAUUCCCUGUUGUUUUUCAGGUUAUAAUUUUGUUCUGUUGUGGAUGCUGCUAAGUGCCGGUGGGCUCGGCCUUCUUAUAUAAGUAUAUCCCAUCUUUAGCUUCUUUAUUGAGGAUUGUCACUUAAGCUAGCAUGUAUUUUAAAACUUAUAAAUGUUUUAUACAUUCAAAUUGUAAUCUUUUGAAUCAAUUUCUUUUGUAACCAACUCCGAUGAUAUAUAUUGUAAUCUUGCUAUAACUUGUAAAUGUUGUAACUUGUAACCAUUUUGUAAUAAAUAAUUUAUUUCCGCUGCAAAUAUUGGUGUGUGAUUUGUGUUUACUUAAUCUUGCGAUCUUGGCGGUAAGUCGUUUAUCCGGGGUCCUCGGGGCACUCGGACAGAUCCUGUUAAGUUGUUUGGUGCACAUGCAUAGCUGUCUGAGGUCUUUGAGACAAGGACAGGUGCAUGUGGGCCCGAUAACUUGGGAGGUUCUGCGACAGCUGGUAUCGGAGCUUGAUUAAGUAUGAUACGGUCACAUACGUAUUUUCAAAACAAAAGUUUUGGUUUUAGAAAAUCUAUUUUCAACUAAACACAUUGUUUGGUUUUGAAAAACAGAUUUGAAAAAUUAUAAUGCUAGCGACAUCCUCUAUAAGCCCUAAGUUAAGGACUACUAGGUGGUUUAGUUCAGAAUACUAACCCACAACCUGGGAAGGGUAAUGCAUACAUGUGUAAUGUUAUUUUUGAGGCCAUUCAGUCUUGAAUGGAUCGACGCUCAAGGUAAGGUGAGAUGUGAGAGCAUGACCGAACAAACGUCGGUCUAGGGAAGAGCAUAAAAAGCGCUUGACUAUAUACAUGUUCUACAUAUGUAUAUAUGAAGGCUGUAAUGUGGAGUAAUUACUUUUCCGGGAUUCAGUACCCCUGGAUGUGUGUGGGCAUACAGACAUGGGAAUACUGAGAAGUGUAAUGUAUUUGCAACGACGCACCUACGCUCAGGUAAGAAGGUGAGUUACCAUAAUGAGCUGCCCUAUGGUUAAAGUGUGGCAGCGGCGCCUAUGCGUGGCUCGACGCUUAAUGAGGAGCUGGCCUCCAUAUAGCAAUAUAUGGAGUAUAAACUGUGAUAACUGUCAUGUAUGAAUUGCAUCAUUGGGAAUUGGGCUGUGAUGGAAUUUUCUGCAGGUACACUAACUUCGAACUCGUAUGUGUAGCUGACGACUAGCAACAUAUCGAGAGAGAACGUAGAUAUGCCACCGAUAUAGAACGCUAUUGCCACAUUAUGUUGGCGAAAUUUGUGAGGACGAAUAGGACGAGCAUGUAUCCUGAUUGUUGCAUUGUGUUUGUUGUUUGCGCACAAAAAUGCUUCCCUCACCUUUAUUCUAAUAAUUGGUGAUUGUGAACGAACAUGCUUUUCUCGUCUUUAUUCCGAUAAUAAAUAAUUGGAAAAUGUGUGAAGUAUCACUGUUCUAUAAGAAAUUUCUAGCUUUGUUUGAUGUGUUCUUUAGACAUGUGUUUAUGUGGUCUGUGGUUCUUCUUAGUUUGACCGAUAGUGCAACUUAUGUUUAUUUUUGUGCCUGUGUGCCGGUAGAAUGUUGAUAGCUUGUUUGCGUAAACCCAAAGCUAAGCUAUGUCCUUGUUUAGUAAACUUGAUCUAAACGUGUAUUAAUUUCUUGACAACUUAUCCUAGGUGUCGUCUUGUGUGAAGAUCAUUUUCUUCACAAGGUCAUUGGAGUUCUAGCAAUUAGAUCAAGUCAUGUCCUCAUCAUCUCAAUAUUUGAAAUUGUAUGAGAUCUAAUUCAUAAUUUUGUCACUUCUUCAAAGUCCCUCUAAAUCUUCAAAAUAUGCAUGAGUUUGAAUUAUCGAUUCCUACUCCAUGGCCAAACUCAUGCAAAUACAAAUAGAUGUUUAGGUAAUUCCCUUAUUGGACCUAAGAUGCACUCAAACUUAAAAAUAAGGAUCUCGGGUCUGUGAUCUUGACAAUUCACUUGUAGCUCUCUUAUGGUCAUAUUUUCAUCCUAAACCAUACCCUUGUUUGGUUGGUGCAAGCUGAUGUUUCUAUUCUGCUUUGCCUCUCCAUGAGGAUCACAUUGUCGGUUUCUCAAUCUGACCUAGUAAAGGAAUGCCCAAUAGUUUUCUUGAAUUUAAUGCCUUUGGUUUCCUCAUAUCUCUCGAAGGCAUACCAAUUUAAUCUUAUGAUCAUUUUCCCUCUGAACCUAAUCAGACACUAAUCCUUGACUUUGUAAUCUCGGCGAUGGGCAUAGAAAUAUGCUUGGGGCUGAAUUAAGAGUCCCCCAUCGUACUCAUUCAUUAAUAAGUUUAGGUUAUGGCCAUGUCUUGUUUAUUUCAUCGGCCAUGAUCUAUUUGGCUCUCUGUUUGUAAUCCUUCUUAAAGGUGGAGUCUCUUUUGUAUCUUGUCAUCCUUGCUUGGUCUAUGUGUGCCACAUAAGGUUUUUCAUUGGUUGAGCUUGGUAAUGGCGUUAUGACUAAAACUGACGGUGCCGCGACGAAACCGAGGGCCUCCUGUGGGUAUACACACACGGUUGUGCUGCUCGGCACGCGCUGGUAUCACGGUUAAUAGUUGUAAUCCAUUAGGAAGCUAUAUCAAUGUGUUAUCUGGGCACAAUCUUUUUACGCUAUGUGAGAUUCAUUAUUGGUGCCAGUUCGGUGAUGGUGUCAUGAAUAAGGACUUAUGGUGCCGCAGCGAAACUGAGAGCCCCUUGUGAAUGUACACGCAAGGUUAUGCUGCUUGGCGCAUGCUGGUAUCGAUGUAUCUAGUCAUGAUCCAUUAUGGAACUACAUUAAUAUAUUAUCUUUCGUGGACUUUUCCCUUGAAAUGAUUUUUGUGUUGUUUGCUGAAACAAUCAAACAACAUAUGCCAUCACUGUUGGAUCAAAAGAAUAUGUAUAACUCUGAUGUAUUCUUUAAGUAAAAUUCUUACCAGCUCUGAAGUCUUCAAAAAAAAAUAAUCGAAACCUAUCUGUAUUUAACCGUGUGAUAAAAUCACCCUUUUCAUGUGGGGACUCCUUUCUCUUGAUCUUAGUGGCAACUGCACACAUGGAACCUUGCAUCGAUAGUGUGAUACAUGCUAUAUUCCCUAGAGAAACCAACAUCUUGGAGUACUCAUCUCUACUCGGAGCUGCCUUAUGCUAUCGCUAUUAUGGACAAGGUUAUACGCCUCUCUACUCUUAGAAGUCUUUCGUUCCGAAUCUCGGGACGAGAUUCUUUUAAGGGGGGAAGGUUGUAACACCCCAGGUGUUUAUCGUCUGCUCGACCACGAGUGCGGACUUUAACACGUGAUAGCGGUGAAUAAAAUGGACACUAAAUUUUAAUCAUCUUCGUCUAUCACAAUUUUGAUAUCGUAUCUGUCUCCAUCUGUCUAAAUUGUCCUAAUUUAUUUUGCAAAAUUCAGACUUGAGUAAUAUUUCGAAACAUUGAAUCCAAUAUUGUUUGGGUUGAGCCAUCGACGUCUUGCCCAAACUCUAAAUUCUUGAAAUCGGAUCUGGUUCCUAAACUUUGUUUCAAAUUAUUUCACGCUUGCGUUGCACGUGUCUCUCUGUGGCCUGGCAUCGUGGCGCGUGGCUGGUGCUAACCGACGCCUGGACAGCGCACAACCUCUCGCCCACGUGAACGUUGCGUGACGUCGAUUUUGAAAGGAUCACAAUUUCGAUGUUGUAUCGAUCUCGCGUAUUUAUUUCGCGAAAUGUUGAAUCUUUUGUCUGUUUAAAAUUCAUGGAUUAAGAGAAUAUGAAUUUGAAAUCUCGACCCACUCUUGUGAUUCUUGUCCCAGACAAAUUAAGUGGAUCUCGACAACUAAAGUUUUUGGUGCAAAAUAAUUAUGUCUCCUCUCGUCAGCUGAGAGAUCACGUCCGAGGAUUUAUAAUCAUGUUUGGUUUCUAGCAAAUUAUCCUCGACAUGGAGAUUAGGAGUCGAGUUACAUAUGAAAUUAUCUGAUCUUAAAUCAUAUCAAACACAAUUUUUAAAUAGCAUGACCGAUGUUGUGGAGCGAUCCGAUCGUAUCUCACCCAGAUCCAAACGUGCGUGUAUAAAUAUCUAGUAAAAAUUUUAAUUGAUUUUUUUGAACGUCUACCAAAAUGAGCAUCGUCUAAAUACUGAAGUCAAUCUCCUUUUGGUCCAAUCCAUUUAUGCCUAUGUUAAACCUUAAUCCGAGCAUCAUAUUUAUCCAUAAGUUAUAACAAAAAAAUGGAAAAUCCCAUUUCUAUUAUCUAUUCCAUCGGCCUUAUCCAGCUACCAUCCAUGGCUUAUCCUCACGUACGUAGCUCCUGGAAUUCUCAAGAAGCCACUGUUCACAGGUCUUGUCAUUAUUUAAAAUUUAAGUGGACCAAAGUAAUUAGAACUGAACCAAAUAAUUGCUAAUCAGUUUGUGGCUCGGUUUCAUAAUCUGAAAAGCGAAAUAGGGGUCCCAAAUACAUUUUGGGGUGGCUCAUUUGAACUCUUCCCAAACCAUAGAAACUAGAUACGUGCUUAUGAUUUUGUAAACAAUGGGAGAAGAAAUAUCUGAUUUCUUAUCCUUCUCACCGCUCAACUCCUAUCCCUUAUCCUUCCACGAUGUGCUGUCGGCCUCAUCUCCCAAGUCCAAGCCAUUCUUGUUCCUUCUCUGCUCGUUCUCAUGGCCGAGCUCCCCACGUCCGCCGCUCCUCCCUGGCGCCCUCACCUCCAUUGGAGCUCGCCCCUGUUGAGCUCACCUGUGCUCGUCGGCUGCCCUGCAGUUCCCCCAUGGACGCCUCCUUUCUAAUCUGUGUGCAGGGGUUUCCUUCCCAUGGUCGCCCUCAACCCCAUGGUCGACCUCGCCUAGCCCUUCCCCCAUCUCUUCCCCAAGCUCGGUUCGGCAUGGAGGCUGGCCACAGGACGCAGCACACCAACCUCACCGGCCAUACCCUCUGCUUUUCCCCACUGUCCGCAGCCCCGAUGUCGUCGUCGUGAUUAGACAUGGUGAUUCCUAACUCCUUUCUUUUUAUUUCACUAAUUUUCUAGUGCGAGCAGAUUUUGUUAGCGUAUGUUGAUAUGAGGUUAUGUGUAUUUGUGUGCAAGUGUGGCGAAAAGAAAGAUUCUAGAGUUUGGUGGGAAAGGAAAGCUCUAUCACGACGACCACCAGGUGUUUGAUGAAAUGAAUAAAUUGAUGCUUGUUGUUAUUCCGAAGUUUUGGGGCCAGAUAAAAUUGUUAGUCAGUCGUUUCCUUGUGCUUAUCAUUUGGUUCAAGAUGUGUAUUGCAUAGGUGUGGAUAGGUCAAUGAUUCCCUUGUGUUUAGCAAAUCCUUUGUGUUGAUUAUCGUCGGAUCCUUUGCUACUGUUUGGGUGAUGAAGUAGAAGGUUUUAGCUCUGAACAAUAAUAAGGUGUUAGAAUAUUUGAAGUAUUAAACACCUGAAAAUUAUAGAAACCAAAUAGGAGCGAAAUGGAAUGCUUGCUGUUUGGGACUGUAUGUCCAGUUUUAGUAAGCAGGUAGUUCAAUAAAGUAAACCAUGUUUUCUGUAGAAAUGUUAUAUAGGAAAGUUGUAGAUCACUUCUUUAUCUUACUUGUGUAAAAAUUUCAUGACCAUAGGACUAGUAGUUUAGGAGUUAUGAUUUUUCCAAGUCCAGUUUCAGAAUCUGUCCAAAUUCUGUACAGGUUUCGAAAAUUGGAUUGUUUGGCUGAGUUAAACUGAGAGUCAGUCAUUAGUAAUUAUAGGAGAACUGUAGUACUUUCCUUAAGCUUUCCCACAAAUUUUGGAUCACCCUUUUUAGUGAUCUAUAAAUUAAGUUACAGCUAUUUGAGUUAGGAUCUCUGAAUCUGUCCAAAUUUGGACAGCAGAGCCUUUCCCCUGUCUUUUGACUUUGGUAUGUAUUGAAUUGACCUGUGAUGUUUAUAAAUGAAUUGUAGACAAUUCUACUAGCUUUCUAAAAAGUCUAGGAUCACCUGAUUUGGAUACCUGAAACUCAAGUUAUGAAUUUUUGAAGUAAGUAGUCGAAUUCUGUCCAAAUCUGGACAUAAUUUAUGUUUAGCGCCGUUUGACCUUUCUAAAGGUCGAAUCUUGUUGUGAUGGUAAUACAAAAGUUAUAGAGGACUUCAUAAUCUUUCCAGAAAGUCCUAGUUUACUAUUUUUGGAUGGAUAUUUUGUGAGUUAUGAGGUAAACAAAUAGCUGCUGUUUUGCUGUCCAAAAUCAGCAAGUAUUAUAAUGAUUACUUGGAGUUUCUUUUGUGUGGAUACUUAGAUUUGGUUAGUUCUUGUCUUGGUUAAUGAAGUCUUGUAGUUGCAUAGGGUUGUUCUUUUCUUUCUUAAUGCUUGCCUUAGACUUUAGCAUUUUAAGAAGGAAAAUAAAUACUUUGGUGAGUGCAUUUGAAUUAGUGACAUUGAUGCCUUGUCUUAGGAAGUAUUGUCUUCUAUGUAAUCACGGGAAUUAAUAAGUCAUGAAUGGUUAUUGUUUUCCAUUUCGAGUAUCUGGGAUCAAGUAGCACCAAUAAGUCUAAUCCAAGUAAAUUAUGAAAUCUAUGUGAUACUAGAUGUGAAUGAGGAGUUUAGGUUGAAAUGUCAAUUAUGUGUAGAGUGGUAAGUUAGUAUUUUGAAUAUUUUGCAGGGAAGUGGUGUCGAGGUUACUGUGAUGAUUUAGUUGUUUGAGUGAAUAUGUAUGUGAUGGAUGCUUUGCCUACUAGCUCACAAUUGUGAUGUCUUAGCUAUUGUAUGAUUCAAGUCAUUUGGACAUGGUGGUUUAGAAAGUCAAUAGAUUGCUUCUAUCCAUAUUUUAUUCUAGAUGUCUGUUAGUGAGGAACCUAAGGUUAUUAGUUUUUCGAUGAAUUCUUAAUCCUAGUAGAAUAUAGAACCCAAGUAAAACAUGUUACUAGAUGUUUGGUUUAGGUCCAUUUGACUUAAAGGUCAUGUUUGUGUAAAGUCAAAAGCAUCUAAGUAAAGUUGAAAUGUCUUGCUUUAAGUGCUUAACCUACUUCGAGUAGCAUUAUCUAGCUCGUGCUAUUCAUACUCGUGCUCAUUCAUGUGCAUCUUGCAUAUCACAUAGGUACGUUCAUUGAUCACGUAUUGUGGAGGACAACAACAACUGGAAUAAUCUCAAAGUGGGAUUGAUGAAUGAACCCAAAGCUGAAUGAUCUGAUCGUACUGGAAUGGGAGGUGCUCGCCAAGCGAGUAUCAUCUAACAACACUGACUUAGUGUUUAUCCCAGGCAAGCCCCGGUGCAUUUGCCACCCCCUUGUUGUUAUAAAACUUUUUAUCACUUAUAUGUUGCAUUAGGUGAUAGGAGUUGUGUGAAUAAACAAUUGAUGCAUUACCAUUCCUUAGAAUUUUAUUACUAUUCCUUGAUUCCUCUUUAUAAAAGAGAACUAAAGAUGCUUAGUCCUGCUUAGAUAAUUAAAAAGUUGUUCUUUUUAAUAAAGAUGAUGUGUUACACGGGAUAUGGGAAAUUUUUGUGAAAAAGAAAUUGGGAUGGUGAAUCCAUAUGGCCAUGAUGGAUUCAACGUCCAGAAAAAGUACCUCUGUCAGGUACCAAGGAUUGGGAAACGGUUUAACUAAAAUGAGACCAGACGUUGAGCAGGAAAGGUCGCCCGUCUGUGUCGAUUAAGGACCGUUCCGAUUGUUGGCCUGCUGAUCUAGGACCCUUUAACUGGCCACAUGCCUCAUCAUGGGUAAGCUUAGCCUCGGUCGGACCAAUACCAGAACAGCUCGCACGCACUGGGAGUGGAGAGAUGGCGAGAGUAGCUUGUACCCUCCGUGGCAAGAGACUGGAAGGUGGGGUGCUGUACUCUCGGAAACAUGGCGGGCACCAUGGCGAGAGUAACGUGUACCAACCAGGCCAACGGCUGGAAGGUGGGGUGCUGUACUCUCGGAAACAUGGCGGGCACCAUGGUGAGAGUAACGUGUACCAACCAGGCCAAUGGCUGGACGGUGGAGUACUGUGCUCUCGGGUCGCGUGAACCUGUUUUGGUCUUGAGAAACCCGUGGGCGAGUUGACAUAUGCAAGGGUUAAGUGCUACAUAUGUCGUGUGGUUGGAGAUCCCCAGCUGGGUAUUAAUCGAUUCGGAUCGCCGUUACUUCUCGGAUAUGAAGACUAGAUCACUGCCCUGCAUCGUAGAUAACAAGUGAAACUAAAGUUGAUAAAAGGAAGCUAGUGUAGGACAAGUGAAUGCUCUAGAUUAGGCAAAUCUAGAUUCAGGAAAAGUACUUAACUUGUGAAGUAAAAUUUUGGCAUAAGGAUCCACUACUAGUAUGCUUUUCUGCAAAAACGAGUCUUUGAAAUUUGAUGAGCCUUACCUUGAUUCCCAAUAAACCAGCAUACCCUUGAGAGUCUUUUCUUUAGUCGGGUAAGUCUUGCUGAGUAAUUGCGUACUCAGGGUUUUAUUCCCUGUUGUUUUUCAGGUUAUAAUUUUGUUCUGUUGUGGAUGCUGCUAAGUGCCGGUGGGCUCGGCCUUCUUAUAUAAGUAUAUCCCAUCUUUAGCUUCUUUAUUGAGGAUUGUCACUUAAGCUAGCAUGUAUUUUAAAACUUAUAAAUGUUUUAUACAUUCAAAUUGUAAUCUUUUGAAUCAAUUUCUUUUGUAACCAACUCCGAUGAUAUAUAUUGUAAUCUUGCUAUAACUUGUAAAUGUUGUAACUUGUAACCAUUUUGUAAUAAAUAAUUUAUUUCCGCUGCAAAUAUUGGUGUGUGAUUUGUGUUUACUUAAUCUUGCGAUCUUGGCGGUAAGUCGUUUAUCCGGGGUCCUCGGGGCACUCGGACAGAUCCUGUUAAGUUGUUUGGUGCACAUGCAUAGCUGUCUGAGGUCUUUGAGACAAGGACAGGUGC